rnacentral:rRNA from 1 species
GACGAACGCUGGCGGCGUGCCUAAUACAUGCGAGUAGAACGCUGAAGGAGGAGCUUGCUUCUCUGGAUGAGUUGCGAACGGGUGAGUAACGCGUAGGUAACCUGCCUGGUAGCGGGGGAUAACUAUUGGAAACGAUAGCUAAUACCGCAUAAUAGUAGAUGUUGCAUGACAUUUGCCUAAAAGGUGCAAUUGCAUCACUACCAGAUGGACCUGCGUUGUAUUAGCUAGUUGGUGGGGUAACGGCUCACCAAGGCGACGAUACAUAGCCGCCCUGAGAGGGGGGUCGGCCACACUGGGACUGUGACCCGGCCCAGACUCCUACGGGAGGCAGCCGUAGGGAUUCUUCGGCAAGGGACGGAAGUCUGACCGAGCAACGCCGCGGGAGUGAAGAAGGUUUUCGGAUCGUAAAGCUCUGUUGUAAGGGAAGAACGAGUGUGAGAGUGGAAAGUUCACACUGUGACGGUAUCUUACCAGAAAGCGACGGCUAACUACGUG